rnacentral:rRNA from 1 species
AUUUGAUAGUACCUUACUACUUGGAUAACCGUGGUAAUUCUAGAGCUAAUACAUGCUAAAAACCCCAACUUCGGAAGGGGUGUAUUUAUUAGAUAAAAAACCAACGCCCUUCGGGGCUCCUUGGUGAUUCAUAAUAACUAAACGAAUCGCAUGGCCUUGCGCCGGCGAUGGUUCAUUCAAAUUUCUGCCCUAUCAACUUUCGAUGGUAGGAUAGUGGCCUACCAUGGUAUCAACGGGUAACGGGGAAUUAGGGUUCUAUUCCGGAGAGGGAGCCUGAGAAACGGCUACCACAUCCAAGGAAGGCAGCAGGCGCGCAAAUUACCCAAUCCCGACACGGGGAGGUAGUGACAAUAAAUACUGAUACAGGGCUCUUUUGGGUCUUGUAAUUGGAAUGAGUACAAUUUAAAUCCCUUAACGAGGAACAAUUGGAGGGCAAGUCUGGUGCCAGCAGCCGCGGUAAUUCCAGCUCCAAUAGCGUAUAUUAAAGUUGUUGCAGUUAAAAAGCUCGUAGUUGAACCUUGGGCCUGGCUGGCCGGUCCGCCUCACCGCGUGUACUGGUCCGGCCGGGCCUUUCCUUCUGGGGAGCCGCAUGCCCUUCACUGGGCGUGUCGGGGAACCAGGACUUUUACUUUGAAAAAAUUAGAGUGUUCAAAGCAGGCCUUUGCUCGAAUACAUUAGCAUGGAAUAAUAGAAUAGGACGUGCGGUUCUAUUUUGUUGGUUUCUAGGACCGCCGUAAUGAUUAAUAGGGAUAGUCGGGGGCAUCAGUAUUCAAUUGUCAGAGGUGAAAUUCUUGGAUUUAUUGAAGACUAACUACUGCGAAAGCAUUUGCCAAGGAUGUUUUCAUUAAUCAGUGAACGAAAGUUAGGGGAUCGAAGACGAUCAGAUACCGUCGUAGUCUUAACCAUAAACUAUGCCGACUAGGGAUCGGGCGAUGUUAUCAUUUUGACUCGCUCGGCACCUUACGAGAAAUCAAAGUCUUUGGGUUCUGGGGGGGAGUAUGGUCCCAAGGCUGAAACUUAAAGAAAUUGACGGAAGGGCACCCCCAGGCGUGGAGCCUGCGGUUUAUUUUGCUCACACCGGGGAAACUCCCCAGGCCCGACCCAUUAAGGAUUGCCAAAUGGAGAGCCUUCCUUGAUUUUUUGGGGGGUGGGGCCAGGCCCGCCCUUAAUUUGUGGGAGAGAA